AUAUAUUUUUUGUUAAAAAAUAGCACAGGUGCUCACAGAACCUAGAAUUUCCAUCAUAAAUAAAGAAUAUUUUCUGUAAGCAAAGGUUCUGCCAGUUUCAUCAUGAGGACAGUGGACUGAGUACUGCUUGAGUUGAAGUAGCACCUGAGAAAAUGCCACGGUGCCUUUUCAGGGACUGAGGCUUACCCUGAGUUUGUCCUGACCUACCUAGAGGAGCUAAAUGAAAGAGAGGAGGUGACCCAGACAGAAAACUGUAUUCACCAUGGGGCCUGGUCUGCAGCUCAUCAGGAGAUAGACAGCAGCUCAGCAGAAGAGGUCACAGUAUUAAGCCAGAGGCAGGUUCUGCAAAAAAAUGUCAGCAACCCCAAUCAGAAACAACUUUCAGGACCUUUGGACGCCCAUUUAAUGCCUGCAGAUCCCCUGGGGGAGACUACACAGCUGACAGUGGCACUGGUGAGGAAACUAGAAGAGAAACAUCCUAAGGCCUCAGCUCAAAGGGAAUGGGAGAUUGGGAUGAAGGAGAAGCAGGGAAGGAAAUGCAUCGAUUUCACCAGGUCCUGGUUUCCAAUAUAG
rnacentral:lncRNA from 1 species